GACGAACGCUGGCGGCGUGCUUAACACAUGCAAGUCGAACGGAAAGGCCCUGCUUGCAGGGUGCUCGAGUGGCGAACGGGUGAGUAACACGUGGGUGAUCUGCCCCUUACUUUGGGAUAAGCCUGGGAAACUGGGUCUAAUACUGGAUAGGACCAUGCUGUAGGUGGUGUAGUGGAAAGAUUAGUUUCGGUAAGGGAUGAGCUCGCGGCCUAUCAGCUUGUUGGUGGGGUAAUGGCCUACCAAGGCGUCGACGGGUAGCCGGCCUGAGAGGGUGGACGGCCACAUGGGGACUGAGAGACGGCCGAGACCCCUAGGGGGGGAAGCGGUGGGGAAUAUUGAACAAGGGGGGAAGGCCGGAGGAAGCGACGCCGGGGGGGGGAGGACGGCUUUCGGGUGGAAAGCUCCUUGAACCCAUGACGAACCCCUUGUGGUGGGGGUGGGGGAAAAAGAGGCACCGGCAAACUCCGUG
rnacentral:rRNA from 1 species